rnacentral:rRNA from 2 species
GCUUGACCUCAAAUCAGGUAGGACUACCCGCUGAACUUAA